UACAGAGGGUGCAAGCGUUGUUCGGACUUAUUGGGCGUAAAGCGCGUGUAGGCGGCUUUGCAAGUCGGGUGUGAAAGCCCUCAGCUCAACUGAGGAAGUGCGCCCGAAACUGCAGAGCUUGAGUACCGGGGAGGGUGGCGGAAUUCCCCAAGUAGAGGUGAAAUUCGUAGAUAUGGGGAGGAACACCGGUGGCGAAGGCGGCCACCUGGACGGAUACUGACGCUGAGACGCGAAAGCGUGGGUAGCAAACAGG
rnacentral:rRNA from 1 species